rnacentral:rRNA from 1 species
AUUGAACGCUGGCGGCAUGCCUUACACAUGCAAGUCGAACGGCAGCACGGGAGCAAUCCUGGUGGCGAGUGGCGAACGGGUGAGUAAUAUAUCGGAACGUGCCCAGUCGUGGGGAUAACGUAGCGAAAGCUACGCUAAUACCGCAUACGAUCUACGGAUGAAAGCGGGGGAUCGCAAGACCUCGCGCGAUUGGAGCGGCCGAUAUCAGAUUAGGUAGUUGGUGAGGUAAAGGCUCACCAAGCCGACGAUCUGUAGCUGGUCUGAGAGGACGACCAGCCACACUGGGACUGAGACACGGCCCAGACUCCUACGGGAGGCAGCAGUGGGGAAUUUUGGACAAUGGGCGCAAGCCUGAUCCAGCAAUGCCGCGUGAGUAAUGAAGGCCUUAGGGUUGUAAAGCUCUUUUACCAGGGAUGAUAAUGACAGUACCUGGAGAAUAAGCUCCGGCUAACUCCGUGCCAGCAGCCGCGGUAA